rnacentral:rRNA from 1 species
CAGCAGCCACGGUAACACGUAGGGUGCAAGCGUUAAUCGGAAUUACUGGGCGUAAAGCGUGCGCAGGCGGUUUGUUAAGACAGAUGUGAAAUUCCCGGGCUCAACCUGGGGGCUGCGUUUGAUACUUGGUUGCUUGAGUGGGGAAGAGGGUCGUGGAAUUUCCAGUGUAGAGGUGAAAUUCGUAGAUAUUGGAAAGAACACCGGUGGCGAAGGCGGCGACCUGGUCCUUUACUGACGCUGAGGCGCGAAAGCGUGGGGAGCAAACAGGAUUAGAUACCCCCGUAGUCCCUGUCUCUUAUAC